rnacentral:rRNA from 1 species
UACAGAGGUGGCAAGCGUUGUUCGGAAUUACUGGGCGUAAAGGGCGCGUAGGCGGUCUUCUAAGUCUUGUGUGAAAUCCCUCGGCUCAACUGAGGAACUGCACGGGAUACUGGAUGACUUGAGUUCGGGAGAGGGAAGCGGAAUUCCGGGUGUAGCGGUGAAAUGCGUAGAUAUCCGGAGGAACACCGGUGGCGAAGGCGGCUUCCUG